GGUUGGGUUCUCCUCUCUUUUUGUCCAUUUUCCACUCUUUUUCUCCUCCCAUAAAACCAAAUCAUUAUAUAUUCAUCAUUAUGUUCAUGAUAGCCCAAUACCCAUAUCUCUUCUCUCUCUAAGCUUGACAUUCUAUGGAGAUAAGAAGAAAGAAAGAAAGAAAUAACAGGAGAGAAAAUGGAAAGAAAGAUGGAAAAAAGAGAGAGUGGAAGCUUCUGCUUUGAGGGGAUUGUUGUCUGGCUCGAGGCCACCAACCAUCUUUGAUUGAUUCAAAUACUUUGAUCAGCUUCAACCCAUCUUCUCCUUCAAUUCAAUUCCACCCUCUGAUUAUGUGUUAGUGCCCUCGGACCAGGCUUCAUUCCCCUCAAUCACUGCUCCCCAAUCGGCCCAGAGAUGAUCAAACAUAUGGUAAGUUGGAGCUGUAUAUGGGUUUGUCAGUAUGUGAUACUGCAUUUGGACUCCACUAACUUCUGGUUUCAUGGGAUCUUUCUGUGAUUAUUAUCAUCUUCGACCUCUCUCUCUUGGGUAAGUGACAAUGCACAUUAAGUAUAUAUAUAUACUCUUCUCAUUAUGGAGUGUUUGGCAUUUUGAAGUGUCUAGCUCCCUUGGUUCUUUAGUUUUUCUGUGCAGAAGUGUUGUUUGGAAGGCAAGAAACCAGGGUGAGAAAGAUGAAAAGGCUUUACAUGGAGUUUUGAAUUGAUACUACUGCAUAAAGCACUUGGAAUAGUUUUAUCUUCUGCCGGUGGUGGUGGGUGGCAGCCUGGCAGCUGUGCAGUGCACUGAACAAUAAGAGAAUAUUUAUAUAAUAUUGUAUAAUUUUAUUCAUACUGUUCAGGCUGCUUAUGAUCAUCUCCCACCAUAUGUAGAAUAAUAAUAUAAGCAAUACCCAUAUAUUUUGUUUUGAUUUGGAGCUAGUAUGACAACAUUACUAGUUUACUCAAUGGAGAGUAAUAGUCGUGAGUUCUUGUGC